rnacentral:lncRNA from 1 species
AAAGAACCAUGCACAAGUACCUCAAAUAUAGUCCAAAUGAAGUGAUUAUGGACUUUUUAGAAAGGUUACAUAACUUUCAUGUUUAAUACUUUCCCAUUUGAAGCCUGGAUCAUGAUGAAUUGUUUGGUGGAAAUUUUGAGAAAUCAAACAAUUGUAUUUUUUCUAAGUACCAAGUCAAAUGACCACCUCUUCCACCUUGAAUAACUUUUGCUAUGAACUACAAAUGGAAAUGGUUUCUUCAUCAAAGUUUUAUAUCUUUCAUCCCUAUUCAAUUUGGUCACAAAUUUGACUUCAUUUGGAUUUUGACCUCUUAACUAGGGCACAAACAAAAUGACCUAUAAUCUUUCACCAUUAAAAAUGAAUUUCCAAGCAAAACUAGCUCUUGAUGUCAACAGGAAAGUUGUUUGGAAUGUCAUAAGGAGCAACGUUUCUCUUGGAAUCAUUUUCAUAUGACAAAUACUAUAGGAGAUAGGGUCUAGGGAACCCCGGUUUUGACCAAUGGAUUUUCUCUGAUUAACCUCUUUGAACCAAGUUGCAAACUUGAAGUUCUUUUGAUCUUUUGGACUCAUGUAGGAUCAUAUAUGUAUAAUAUGAUGUAUUUUGAAGUAUACCUUGAUAUAUUGGACCAAUUGUUGAAUAAACUUAUUGAGGAAGUCACACAAGAUACCGAGAUGAAUUAGGGCUUCCAAUGUAAACUAGCUUCAAACUCUUGUUUAAUUAUUGAUCAAAAUGAUAAAUGAAGAACAUUGGGAUCCAUAUAUAAUGUCAAGAACCAUUUUGAAAUCUAUCUUGCAUUGAGGGUCUCCACCCCUAGUUAUAAGCUUGAUGAAGCAUUGGUGGAUGCAUAUAAUACCUACAAAAGAAACAAAGUUAUACAUAGACAUACUUUUGGUUUUUUGAUUAGUAAAUAAAUAAAAACAAAGUAUGAUACAAUGAAAUGUUCUUGGUGAUCUCUCCCAAUGCAAACCCAAUCAAUGAGGGGUAACGAGGAUGCCGAGGUGUGAUCCCAAAGCCAAUGCAAAUAUUGAGAUAGCAUGAGGGAUCUUAGGAUCAAAAUUGGGAUCUUACAUUAGGGUAAAUUUAGAGUAUGAUCGGUUCCAAUAAAUGUCUUCCUGUUAGAACUUGCAACAUUAUCGAACCACUAUUGAGAAGAAUCUCUAUGUUAAAGAAGGAGAGGAACACCCAAAUGGUGGGAGAGAGGGGCAUCUAGGUUAAAAAAUAUUAUAUGGAAAACCAUUAAAUUUCUCCAUACGUUAGAGUGAUUUAGGAAGGGGAGAUGUUAGUAAUCCCCAGUACGUCUGUCUCAAAAUAGGUAAAAGGGAACAAACCCCCCAACUCGUGGAUAAUAAGAAGCAGAAGACUCGCUCGCAAUGAGCAUAUUGGCUUUCUCCAUUUUUAAAAAGGGUUCUAGGGUCAUGUCCUUUUUGCGCAAUUUCAUGACUAACAUGAAACCAUCCUCUAUUUAAGACUCAUGUAAAGUUUGGAUAAAAAACAUUAUGACACUAUGAAAGAAAAUCAUUAAUAGAAGAACUAACAAGUCCUGAAUGAAUAAAAUACAAAGAUUAUAAGUGAAACAUAAUCUACUAAAGUACAAAUAUUAUGCUCUUACUAGACACAAGUAAACAUUUAAUUUUAAUCUCCAUAAAUUUUUUCCUAUGGUUAUUAUAAAAAUAAACAAUUAAUUAUAUCUCCUUAGUUUUUUCAAAGGUUAUUAUAUGUGUAUUGAUAUUUUAUUUGUUUGCAUCUUUUAAAUGUGAACAGGGCCAUCGUAACUAUUAAAAAGUAAGAGAAAUAUAAAUUGAAGAAUGAGAAAUAUCAGUAGCUUUACAAUAUUAUUAUAUAAAUAUAGAAGUAUAAAAUUUUAAGAAACUUUAAAUUAUUUUCAAUUUAAUUUUUAAAGAUACUUUGAGAGGUGAUAAGAUGGAUAAACGGUGCCAUGUAACAUUCUUUAUUCUCCUUAACCAACUUGUUUAGUAUGUGGAUAUGGAUAUUGUUUGUUAAAUUACCUUAAAAUUGAAUGUUCAAUGGAUCUAUUAAAUAAUACGCUUUCAAUUUUCUUUCAUCACGUGUCUCAUGCAAGACCCUAAUUAAAAGGUAAUGCAAAUGUCAAAAUUUUAUGUUAAAGUAUCAGAACAAUGAAUUAUGGAAUCUCGUCUAUCAUACUACAUAAUCUUUUUCAUUUCCGUUUAGUUAGAUUUGCAAAUAAGAGUGUUAGAUUACAUUAUUUUAUUUCCUCUAAAUAUUAUGUUGUAUGAUAUAAAAAGAGAAAAUAAGUUUUUUAUUAGGGUGCUUGAGGAGAUGUUGUAUCUCGCUCCAACUGAAUAGAUAAAACAUCAUUUGUUUGUGAAAAGCUUUUUUAUUCGCGUUGAGGAAGAAGUUAGAUUAAUGGGUUGAAAUCAUUUUUAGGUGGAAGAUAAUUAUUCGAAAGGAAGGAUAUACUCCUUUUAUAGAUAAAAGUAAAAAUAAAAAUAGAGAGGAAAUGGCUCGCUCGUAAUGAGCGUAUUGGCUCUCUGCAUUUAAAAACACGGUUCUAGGGUCACAUCCUCUUCGUGUAAUUUCUUGACUAACAUGUAUCCUCUAUUUAAGACUCCUAUAAAGUUUGAAUAAAAAACUUUAUGACACAGAGAAAGAAAAUUAUUAAUAUAAGAGGUAACAAGUCUUGAAUGGAUAAAAUACAAAGAUUAUAAGUGAAAUAAAAUCUACUAAAGUACGAAUAUUAUGCUCUUACUACACACAAGCAAACAUUUAAUAUUAAUCUCCAUAAAUUUUUCUUAUGGUUAUUAUAAAAAUUAACAAUUAAUUAUAUCUCCUUAGUUUUUUCAAAGGUUAUUAUAUGUGUAUUGAUAUUUUAUUUGUUUGCAUCUUUUAAAAGUGAACAAGGCCGCCGUAACUAUUAAAAAGUAAGAGAAAUAUAAAUUGAAGAAUGAGAAAGAUCAGUGGCUUUACAAUAUUAUUAUAUAAAUAUAGAAGUAUAAAAUAGUAAGAAACUUUAAAUUAUUUUCAAUUUAAUUUUUAAAGAUACUUUGAGAGGUGAUAGGAUGGAAAAGAAAAUAUGAUAUGCAUAAAUUGAAGGUCAUGAAUAUUUCUCUAAAAUUUAAAGGGAAGAAGAUACUAAAAAUAUUAUUAUUUGUUGUCCUAUUUCAUUUCAUUACAAUAAUACUAGUGUAUAAAUCCAGAACUAUUAGGUUGUUGUAAUAAAAUUUAAACAAAAACUCAAAUUAUUGAGGGUAAAAAUACAAUAUCCAAAUGACAUACGAUAACACAUAAAAUAUAUUAGGUGUUUGUGUCUUAUCUGGGGACUUUCAAUUAAAAACUAAAUUUGUAAACUCUUAAAGGAAUUUAUUUAUCUUCUCGGAUUAAGCAAUUCACGCACUAUUAUACAUUUACAAUUAGUGCGGUUCAUGCAUUUUCCUCUAUAAGGAGGUCGGCAAUAAAUUUUGUUUUCACAAUCUGAAUCAUCAAAACAUUUGAUUUUCUCUGCUGCAAUUAAAAAAACACUAUAAGGUUAUUAAAAUGAAAAAAAAAUACAAUGUAUGAAAUAAAAGAGAACAUUUAAAAUGAAUGAACAAAAGUUACCUUUAAUUUUCGUUCCAAUCAAAAACAGAGAGACUAACAUAAUCAUAACAUAAGCAAAUUUUACUAUUUGUACCAUAUUUCUCCUCGUUAUUUUUAUAAAUUAUUUUGUAACUUUGUAGUUUAUGAAUAAGAGUGGAUCCUCGCCUUUUAUAAUUUUUACUUGUGGACACUUAGUUGUAAAAUAAAUCUUAAAAUUAAAUUAAUUAGUAUAUAACUUUUCGAUACAUCAUUUUUUUGUCUUUGUCUCUUCAGCACAUCCAAAAAAGAUGUAAAAUAAAACAUGUCUAUCAUAAAAAUUUAUUCUUCUUAUAAUAAAAUUUUAAUCAUUUUAUAUUAUUUUACCUCGGAUGUGAAUGGGAGAUUACCUUAGUUAUAGAGAUGGGAUACCAAAGAGCGUCAUAAAAAACUAACAUCUUAUCGAUCGGUUUUGAAUAACCGAGGGGAAAGGUGAAAAAGUCAUUCAUUUGAUCCCCAGUGUAGGUCGGAUUUUUUUAAAAGUUAUAGAGAUGGGAUACCAAAGAGCGUCAUAAAAAACUAACAUCUUAUCGAUCGGUUUUGAAUAACCGAGGGGAAAGGUGAAAAAGUCAUUCAUUUGAUCCCCAGUGUAGGUCGGAUUUUUUUAAUAACUGAGGGGUAUAACCAAUGUUUUUUAAAAUUCCAUUUUAACUGACCUUGAUCAUUUUUUAUAUAGAUCCUACAAAUUAGGUGAGAGAAUCAUAUCAAUUGUAUUUUAUUUAGAAUAUAAAACAAAAUACCAAUUUUACAUUGUUUAUAAAAGCAAAUGUACAAUCCUUGCAAUACUUAUCGUGAUAUUUGGUAUACACAAAACCUAUGCCAAGAGAACCUAUACAUAUUUUCACCUAAAUUGACAAAACAUUUACACAAUGCUAGUGUAUAGAUAAAAAUCAAGAAAAACUAGUGUUUACUAGAUUCAUAAUGACAUAAGAAGACACUUGCACAACGUGAUCGGAUGUCAUCUAUAUCCUCUUGUGGAAAUGGUGUUUUAUUGCUAGACGCUUAUAAUUUGAACAAAAUUUAAAUUAUGAUAAGAUAACUACAACAAUAAUAAAUAACAAUUAUACAUAAAUUACAUGUAUAUGGAUAAAGUUAAUACCUUAUUCAAUGAAUUAAUAAUGCCAUUAGAGAAAAUAUUAGACAUAUGUAUCAUAGUAUUAUAUCGACAUAUAAAGUUCUGUGAAUACAUAAAUUACAUGUAUAUGGAUAAAGUUAAUACCUUAUUCAAUGAAUUAAUAAUGCCAUUAGAGAAAAUAUUAGACAUAUGUAUCAUAGUAUUAUAUCGACAUAUAAAGUUCUGUGAUUAUCUUCGCUGCUACAAAUAAUUUUCAUAUUGUUACUAAUUAAUACACACAAGACACAAGUAAUACAUUAGAGAAACUAAAAUAAUAUCAAAAAGCAUAAGUAAUACUUACACGUGGUUCUAUGAACUUUAGCUUUUUACCCUGUAUAUUACGUUUCACAAAAUUGUAUCCCUCCAAAUCAUUACAUGAUGGUAAAAAUCAAACAUGAAUAAAACUUUUCAAGACUAAAGGUAAAAUUUGAGUAUUCCAAAUAAUACCACUUACGCACUUAAAAUCUUUUGUAUAUCUUCAUCAAGAUGACAAUGUAACCAGCAUAACAUAACUAUAAUAUUUUUCUUCUGACAUAAAAUAAUUAAUUGCAAAUGUUUGCUACAUAAAAACAUAGAAUAAUUACCAAUGUGUGUAUAAAAUUGAUUUAUAAAUGAAAACACAAAUUAAAUCAUAUACUUAAUUAUGGAUAAAUUAUGACAUGUAAUAUUCUUUAUUCUCUUUAACCAACUUGUUUGUAUGCGUAUAUGGAUAUUGUUGGUUAAAUUACCUUAAAAUUGAAUGUUCAAUGAAUCUAUGAAAUAAUAUGCUUUCAAUUUUCUUUCGACACUUGUCUCAUGCAUGACCCUAAUUAAAAGGUAAUGCAAAUGUCAAAAUUUUAUGUUAAAGUAUGAGAACAAUGAAUUAUGGAAUCUCGUCUAUCAUACUAAAUAAUCUUUUUCAUUUCCAUUUAGUUAGAUUUGCAAAUAAGAGUGUUAGAUUACAUUAUUUUAUUUCCUCUGAAUACUAUGUUGUAUGAUAUAAACAGAGAAAAUUAUUGUUUUAUUAGGGUGCUUGAGUAGAGGUUGUAUCUCGCUCCAACUGAAUUGAUAAAACAUCAUUCGUUUGUGAAACGUUUUUUAGUCGCGCUGAGGAAGAAGUAAGAUUCAUGGGUUGAAAUUAUUUUUAGGUUGAAGAUGAUUAUUCGAAAGGAAAGAUAUACUCCUUUUAUAGAUAAAAGUAAAAAUAAAAUUAGAGAGGAAAUGACUCGCUCGUAAUGAGCGUAUUGGCUCUCUGCAUUUUAAAACAGGGUUCUAGGGUCACAUCCUCUUCAAGUAAUUUCUUGACUAACAUGUAUCCUCUAUUUAAGACUCAUAUAAAGUUUGAAUAAAAAACUUUAUGACACAGAGAAAGAAAAUUAUUAAUAGAAGAGGUAACAAGUCUUGAAUGGAUAAAAUACAAAGAUUAUUAGUGAAAUAAAAUCUACUAAAGUACGAAUAUUCUGCUCUUACUACACACAAGUAAACAUUUAAUAUUAAUCUCCAUAAAAAAUUUCUUAUGGUUAUUAUAAAAAUAAACAAUUAAUUAUAUCUCCAUAGUUUUUUCAAAGGUUAUUAUAUGUGUAUUGAUAUUUUAUUUGUUUGCAUCUUUUAAAGGUGAACAAGGCCACCGUAACUAUUAAAAAGUAAGAGAAAUAUAAAUUGAAGAAUGAGAAAGAUCAAUAGCUUUAUAAUAUUAUUAUAUAAAUAUAGAAGUAUAAAAUUGUAAGAAACUUUAAAUUAUUUUCAAUUUAAUUUUUAAAGAUACUUUGAGAGGUGAUAGGAUGGAAAAGAAAAUGUGAUAUGCAUAAAUUGAAGGUCAUGAAUAUUUCUCUAAAAUUUAAAGUGAAGAAGAUACUAAAAAUAUUAUUACUAUGUUGUCCUAUUUCAUUUCAUUACAAUAAUACUAGUGUGUAAAUCCACAACUAUAGGUUGUGAAAAUAAAAUUUAAACAAAAAAAAUUAUUGGGGUAAAAAUACAAUAUCCAAAUGACAUACGACAACACAUAAAAUAUAUUAGGUGUUUGCGUCUUCUCUAGGGACUUUCAAUUAAAAACUAAAUUUGUAAACUCUUAAAGUAUUAUUAUCUCCUGGGAUUAAGCAAUCACGCACUAUUUUACAUUUACAAAUAAGUUUGCUUAUGCAUUUUCCUCUAUAAGGAGGCCGGCAAUAAUUUUUUUGAUAAUCUGAAUCAUCAAAACAUUCGAUUCUCUCUGCUGCAAUAAAAAACACUAUAUGGUUAUUAAAAUGAAAAAUAUAACGUAUGAAAUAAAACAGAACUUUAAAAUGAAUGAACAAAAGUUACCUUUAAUUUUCGUUCCAAUAAAAAUAGAAAGAAUAAUAUAAUCAUAACAUAAGAAAAUUAUUACUUCUACCAUAUUCUCCUCGUUAUUUUUAAUAAAUUAUUUUGUAACUUUAUAGUUAUGAAUAAGAGUGGAUCCUGCCUUUAAUAAUUUUUACUUGUGGACACUUAGUUGUAAAAUAAAUCUUAAAAUUAAAUUAAUUAGUAUAUAACUUUUCGAUACAUCAUUUUGUUGUCUUUGUCUCUUCAGCAUAUCCAAAAAAGAUGUAAAAUAAAACUUGUCUAUCAUAAAAAAUAUUCUUCUUAUAAAAAUUUUUAAUCAUUUUAUAUAUUUUACCUCGGAUGUGAAUGGGAGAUUACCUCAGUUAUAGAGAUGGAUACAAAGAGCGUCAUAAAAAACUAACAUCUUAUACGAUCGUUUUGAAUAACCGAGGGAAAGGUGAAAAAGUCAUUCAUUUGAUCCCCAGUGUAGGUCGGAUUUUUUAAUAAUUGAGGGGUAUAACCAAUGUUUUUAAAAUUCCAUUUUAACUGACCUUGAUCAUUUCUAUAUAGAUCCUACAAAUUAGGUGACAGAAUCAUAUCAAUUUGUAUUUUAUUUAGAAUAAAACAAAAUACCAAUUUUACAUUGUUAUAAAAGCAAAUGUACAAUCCUUGCAAUACUUAUCGUGAUAUUUGUAUACACAAAACCUAUCGCAAGAGAACCUAUACAUAUUUCACCUAAAUUGACAAAACAUUUACACAAUGCUAGUGAUAGUUAAAAAUCAAAGAAAAACUAGUGUUGACUAGAUUCAUAAUGACAUAAGAAGACACUUGCACAACGUGAUCGGAUGUCAUCUAUCUCCUCUGUGGAAAUGGUGUUUUAUUGCUAGACGCUUAUAAUUUGAACAAAAUUUAAAUUAUGAUAAGUUAACUACAACAAUAAUAAUUAACAAUUAACAAUAAUUACAUGUAUAUGGAUAAAGUUAAUACCUUAUUCAAUGAAUAAUAAUGCCAUUAGAGAAAAUAUUAGACAUAUGUAUCAUAGUAUUAUAUCGACAUAUAAAGUUCUGUGAUUAUCUUUGCUGCUACAAAUAAUUUUCAUAUUGUUACUAAUUAAUACACAAAAGACAAAGUAAUACAUUAGAGAAACUAAAAUAUCAAAAAGCAUAAGUAAUACUUACACGUGUUCUAUGAACUUUAGCUUUUACCCUGUAUAUUACGUUUCACAAAAUUGUAUCCCUCCAAAUCAUUACAUGAUGGUAAAAAUCAAACAUGAAUAAAACUUUCAACAGACUAAAGGUAAAAUUUGAGUAUUCCAAAUAAUACCACUUACGCACUUAAAAUCUUUUGUAUAUCUUCAUCAAGAUGACAAUGUAACCAGCAUAACAUAACUAUAUAUUUUUCUUCUGACAUAAUAAUUAAUUGCAAAUGUUUGCUACAUAAAAACUUAGAAUAAUUAAAAUGUGUGUAUAAAAUGAUUUAUAAUGAAAACACAAAUUAAAUCAUAUACUUAAUUUUGAUAAAUUAUGACAUGUAAUAUUCUUUAUUCUCUUUAACCAACUUGUUGUAUGCGUAUAUGGAUAUUGUUUGUUAAAUUACUAAAAUUGAAUGUUCAAUGGAUCAUAUGAAAUAAUAUGCUUUCAAUUUCUUUCGACACUUGUCUCAUGCAUGACCCUAUUAAAAAAGUAAUGCAAAUGUCAAAAUUUUAUGUUAAAGUAUGAGAACGAUGAAUUAUGGAAUCUCGUCUAUCAUACUAAAUAAUCUUUUUCAUUUCCAUUUAGUUAGAUUUGCAAAUAGAGUGUUAGAUUACAUUAUUUUAUUUCCUCUGAAUACUAUGUUGUAUGAUAUAAAGAAAGAAAUAAUUUUAAAUUGAUAUUUUCAUUAUUAUAUUUUUCAUGAUUUAAUUGAUAUGUGAAUAUUUUUAAUGUUUAAAAAUACUUUGAAGUUUUCAAAAUUAUGAUUUUUUUCUCCAAGGUACUUUGACCUUGUUUGACAUAUGAUAAUCUCAUGGCAAUUUUUUUGUGUUUUGAUGAGGUUUUUAGGAAAUUGACCACAUAUUUAAUUUAACGCAUAUUUUGUUAUUUUUAAUUGUUUAAAUGCCAAAUAAAUUGUGUAGAGCCAUUUAAUUGACUUUGUGAGUUUGACUUGUGUUGUUGGACCUUGGUCAAGGGGAUUUGACUUGUUAGGUUAAGAUUAUUGGAUUAGGGGAUUGAUGGAAUGUAAAUUCCAUCUCCCAAAAUGAACGAAUGAUCUUAAUUUUGGUAAAGUCCUCUUGACCAAUUUGUGAUUGAUCCAUUCCCCCUCCCUCUUUAUCUCAUUCCCCUUCUUUAUUCAUUCAUAUCAUGGACCUAUGUAUAUCUACAUCCAAAGGCUAGUUGAUUGCAAAAUCAACAUGAGUAUGGAUGAGAUUAGGUCACCACUUUGCAUAUUCUUUUUGUGUGUGGUAUGUUUCAUGAGUAUAAUCCAUUAUACUAUAUCUCUAACAUGAAUUAACACCAAAUUCUAUUGCCCGACCUCAAAUAGUUGUGACUUCUACAUAAGUCCAAUUAUGAUUGCUUAAUAUAGCGCUAAAUUUGUGACACAAAAAGGCAUAGCCAUUAUAGUAGAAGUGAGAUGUAAGUUCCACUCUUUCAUGGUGUGAGAAACUUGCCAUUUUUUCCUCCCGUGGAAAUGUCUUGGUUACAGAGACCUGCUAGUGAUAAGUGCGUUGAGUGUUCUCCAAAGAAUGACUUAAACAAAAACAAAACAAAACAAUACUAACUCUAACCGACUAACACUAACAUAUUAUACAAGCCAUUUACUUUUAUGCACUUUAAUUGAGCUUUAAUUCAUUUGCCAUUAUUCAUACCAUUCAAUUUGUUACUUAAUGUCAUUUUCACUUGCGCACACUGGUGCAUAAUUUGUGAUAUAUUGUAUUUGUAUAUACUUGUUGUUUUGUGUGUCCUUUUCCUUAAUGUACAUCAUAAGAACAAAAACCCUAAUAAAUAUUUUCGUGGACUGUUGAUUUGAUCUGAGACUAUUGGACUUAGAAUUUAGGCAACACUCCCUAUGCAAAUGACUUGGCCAAUGCCAAAUUUCAUGAAACCAAUUGCUUGUGAAGUUAACAUCCAUAUGAUACAAUAUUGAAGAUCCAUUUGAGUUCAUCUGCAACAUGAUCAUAUUGAAACUGUUAUUUUGAACCUGUGUCUAAUGCUCCUCUUUUAAGUCAUCUGAUACAUGGGGAAUCAUAAAGAAAGAUCAUGGAGUUGCUAAUCUUAGAUGUGGCUAUCUUUAUUUGAUGUCUUGGUCUUCCACCUUGCUAUUUGUGUAAUUGAUAUUCCUUGAUUCUAAACUCCAUAGGAAAUUUGGUUUCUAUAUGACAUUUUUGUUUAUUGGAUUACAGCCGUGGUCAGAUCUUUUCAACUCUUAACUUUUAAAUUCGUGCUUAGGAUUAGUCUCUUCAUCUCCUUCCAUUCUUUUAAUUUCAAAAUCUCUCCCUCCUUUUAAAACCUUUUUCAUUGUGUUUGUUUUCUAAACUUAGACCAUUUUUUUGCAAAUUAGAAACUUUGGCCUUAUGCCAUUGCAUUUUUAAACUCUUUUCUCAAUCAAACCUGUAAAUAAACUUAAUUAUACUUGACUUAAAAUUUUAGAAAGAAAAAAGAACUAACACUCAUUCAAAUAAUUUUGGCCUUUUUGUGCCUUGUUAAACUUAAAUUUUGUUAAAAGCAAUGCACUCAUUUUGAAUUAAUACCACGAACUACGAGUUUUGAUCCCUCAUUUUGUGUUGGUACCUAGCACAAGUCUGAAGGUCUUGUCAAACACAAAAAUAUAUUUAAUGAAUCUUUUUCUCAUCCCUCCACUCUAUUUUUUUUGCAAACAUCAGUUGUACAAAAACACAUAUCCAAAAAAAAGGGCUCCCUAGGAUAACCUAUGACAAUUUGGGUGCUAACAUCUUCCCUCUGUGUAAUCCACCCCCUUAUCCGUAAUCUCUGACAUUUUAUUAGUUUUGAUUUAAAAACUUCUUAUCUUUUGAGUUUUGUUCGUCCUUUUCCCUCUUCCUUGAAAAACCCAAAAGCGCGGUGGCGACUCUGGUUUUAUUGAAUUUAGCAUAUCCAUAGCUUAAUGGUCAUGGCAACCAAAUCAAAUCAGGAGUAUAUUAUUUGAUGAGAAUGUAUUAGCACCCCCGCAUAUUGUUGUACUCAACGAGAACCAUUUAGUUAAAUUUACGUGUAAAAGUGUUAGAUUAUGAUUUUAUUUCAUUUGAUUAUUAUGUUGUAUGAAAUAACCAAUAAAAUAAGUUUUUUAAUUAGGGUGCCUGACAGAAUUUUAAAUCUCGCUCCAACUGAAUAGAUAAAACAUCAUUCGUUUGUGAAAAGUUUUUUAGUCGUGCUGAGGAAGAAGUAGGAUUGAUGGGUUGAAAUAUUUUUUAGGUGGAAGAUGAUUAUUCUAAAGGAAAGAUAUACUCCUUUAUGGAUACAAGUAAAUAAAAAUAGAGAGUACAUGACUCGCUCGCAAUGAGAAAAUUGUCUCUCUCCUUUUUUAAACAUGGUUCUAGGGCCACAUCCUCUUCGUGUAAUUAAUUGACUAACAUAUAUCCUCUAUUUAAGACUUAUGUAAAGUUUGGAUAAAAAACUUUAUGACACAAAGAGGGAAAUAAUUAAUAGAAGAGUAACAAGUCUUGAAAUGGAUAAAAUACAAAGAUUAUAAGUGAAACAAAAAUCUACUAAACUACACAUAUUAUGCUCUUACUAGACACAAGUAAACAAUUAUUUUAAUCGCAUAAUAUUCUCCAAUGGUAAUAUAAUAAACAAUUAAUUAGAUCUCCUGAGUUUUUUCAAAGGUUGUUAUAUGUGUAUUGAUGUUUUAUUUGUUCACAAUUUUAAAAAGUCAACAAGGUCACUGUAAUUAUUAAAAAGAAAAGAGAAUAUAAAUGAAGUAUGAGGAAGAUCACUAGUUUUACAAUAUUAUUAUAUAAUAUAGAAGUACAAAGUAUAAGAAACUUUAACUUAUUUUCCAAUAAAUCUCUAGAGUUACUUUGAGAGGUGAUAUGAUUGAAAAGAAAAUGUAAUAUGGAUAAAUUGAAGGUCAUGAAUAUUUCUCUAAAAUUAAAAGGGAAGAAGGCAUCAAAAUAUUAUUAGUUUUUUCUAAAAUUAAAAAAGAGAAGAAGACAAUAAAAAAUGAAAAUAUAUUAUUUGUUAUUUUAUUUCAUUUCAUUACAAUCAUGUUACUAUAUAACCAACAACUACCAGGUUCUUGAAAUAGAACAAAAACAAAUAAGAUUGUUGGGGUAACCAUACAAUAUCCAAAUGAUAUGCGACAACACAAUAUAUAGGUGUUUGUGUGUUCUCUCGGGUCUCUCUUUUUAUGAGAUGUUUGUAAACUACUAAAGAUAUUUCUUUAUCUUCUCGAUUAAGCAAUUCAAGUCCUAGUACUCAUUAAACAAUGACUCUUGUUAUGCAUGUUCUUUAAAAGGAAACCGAAAAAAAAAUAUUUCUACAAUCUGAAUCAUCAAAACAUUUAAUUCUUUCUCCUACAAUAAAAACACACAAUAAGGUUAUUAAAAUAAUAAAAAAUACAAGGUAUGAAAUAAAAAAUAAAGUGUUAAAUGAAUGAAUUGAAGUUUCCUUCAAUUUUCGAUCCAAUAAAAAUAUAAAAGAUUAAUAUAAUCAUAACUUAAUAGAACUUUAUUAUUUCUAUCCUAUUUCUCCUCGUUAUAUUUAAUAAAUUAUUUUAUAACUUUAUAGUUUAAAUAACAGUGCAUCCUCACCCUCUUUAUAUCUCUUAAUUAUGGAUACAUAGUUGCAAAAUAAAUCUUAAAAAGAUGUCACAUCAUUUUGUUGUGUUAGUCUCUUCAGCACAUCUAAAAAAGAUGUCGGAUAAAACUUGUCUAUCAAAAAAUAUUUUCUUCUUAUAAUAAAAUUCUAAUUAUUUUAAAUUAUAUUACCUCGGAUGUGAAAUGGAGAUUACCUCAGUUAUAGAGAUUGGAUAACAAAGGGCAUCAUAAAAAACUAAUAUUUUAUCCAUCGGUUUUGAAUAACCGAGGGGAAAGGUGAAAAAGUCAUUGACUUGAUCCCAAUUUACGUAGGAUUUUUUAAAAUAACCGAGGGGUAAUAACCAAUGUUUUUUAAAAUUCCAUUUUGACUUACCUAAAUCAAUUUUUACAUAGAGCCUACAAUUAAGUGACAGAAUCAUAACGUUUGUAUUUUAUAUAGAAUACAAUACAGAAUAUCAUUUUAGCAUUGUUUAGCAAAACGUAAAUGUACAACCUUACACAAUACUUUAUAAUGCUAAUUUGGUAUACACAAAACCUCUACCUAAGAGAAACCUAUACAUAUUUGCACCUAAAUGAAAAGAACCUGCUACACAAUGCAAGUGUAUAGAUUAAAUAAAGAAAAAUCUCUCUCGGCGCGGAUUGCGCUGCACGAUUGCGCGAGAAGAUGUUGACCGAGUAAAACGUGAGAGAGUCAGGCUACGAGAGAUGUAANUAUAAUUAUUGGGGGUAAAAAUACAAUAUCCAAAUGACAUACGACAACACAUAAAAUAUAUUAGGUGUUUGCGUCUUCUCUAGGGACUUUCAAUUAAAAACUAAAUUUGUAAACUCUUAAAGGUAUUUAUUUAUCUCCUGGGAUUAAGCAAUUCACGCACUAUUUUACAUUUACAAUAAGUGUUGCUUAUGCAUUUUCCUCUAUAAGGAGGCCGGCAAUACAUUUUGUUUUGAUAAUCUGAAUCAUCAAAACAUUUGAUUCUCUCUGCUGCAAUAAAAAAACACUAUAUGGUUAUUAAAAUGAAAAAAAAUAUAACGUAUGAAAUAAAACAGAACAUUUAAAAUGAAUGAACAAAAGUUACCUUUAAUUUUCGUUCCAAUAAAAAAUAGAAAGAAUAAUAUAAUCAUAACCUAAGGAAAAUUUAUUACUUCUACCAUAUUUCUCCUCGUUAUUUUUAAUAAAUUAUUUUGUAACUUCAUAGUUUAUGAAUAAGAGUGGAUCCUCGCCUUUAAUAAUUUUUACUUGUGGACACUUAGUUGUAAAAUAAAUCUUAAAAUUAAAUUAAUUAGUAUAUAACUUUUCGAUACAUCAUUUUGUUGUCUUUGUUCCUCUUCAAGCAUAUCCAAAAAAGGAUGUAAAUAAAACUUGUCUAUCAUAAAAAUAUAUUCUUCUUAAUAAAAAUUUUAAUCAUUUUAUAUUAUUUUACCUCGGAUGUGAAUGGGAGAUUACCUCAGUUAUAGAGAUGGGAUACCAAAGAGCGUCAAAAAAAACUAACAUCUAUCGAUCGGUUUUGAAUAACCGAGGGGAAAGGUGAAAAGUCAUUCAUUUGAUCCCCAGUGUAGGUCGGAUUUUUUAAUACUGAGGGGUAUAACCAAUGUUUUUUAAAAUUCCAUUUUAACUGACCUUGAUCAUUUUAUAUAGAUCCUACAAAUUAGGUAGAGAAUCAUAUCAUUGUAUUUUAUUUAGAAUAUAAAACAAAAUACAAUUUUACAUGUUUAUAAAGCAAAUGUACAAUCCUUGCAAUACUUAUCGUGAUAUUGGUAUACACAAAACCUAUGCCAAGAGAACCUAUACAUAUUUCACCUAAAUUGACAAAACAUUUACACAAUGCUAGUGUAUAGAUAAAAAUCAAGAAAAACUAGUGUUUACUAGAUUCAUAAUGACAUAAGAAACACUUGCACAACGUGAUCGGAUGUCAUCUAUAUCCUCUUGUGGAAAUGGUGUUUUAUUGCUAGACGCUUAUAAUUUGAACAAAAUUUAAAUUAUGAUAAGAUAACUACAACAAUAAUAAAAUAACAAUUAUACAUAAAUUACAUGUAUAUGGAUAAAGUUAAUACCUUAUUCAAUGAAUUAAUAAUGCCAUUAGAGAAAAUAUUAGACAUAUGUAUCAUAGUAUUAUAUCGACAUAUAAAGUUCUGUGAUUAUCUUCGCUGCUACAAAUAAUUUCAUAUUGUUACUAAUUAAUACACACAAGACACAAGUAAUACAUUAGAGAAACUAAAAUAAUAUCAAAAAGCAUAAGUAAUACUUACACGUGGUUCUAUGAACUUUAGCUUUUUACCCUGUAUAUUACGUUUCACAAAUUGUAUCCCUCCAAAUCAUUACAUGAUGGUAAAAAUCAAACAUGAAUAAAACUUUUCAAGACUAAAGGUAAAAUUUGAGUAUUCCAAAUAAUACCACUUACGCACUUAAAAUCUUUUGUAUAUCUUCAUCAAGAUGACAAUGUAACCAGCAUAACAUAACUAUAAUAUUUUUCUUCUGACAUAAAAUAAUUAAUUGCAAAUGUUUGCUACAUAAAAACAUAGAAUAAUUACCAAUGUGUGUAUAAAUUGAUUUAUAAAUGAAAACACAAAUUAAAUCAUAUACUUAAUUAUGGAUAAAUUAUGACAUGUAAUAUCUUUUAUUCUCUUUAACCAACUUGUUUGUAUGCGUAUAUGGAUAUUGUUUGGUUAAAUUACCUUAAAAUUGAAUGUUCAAUGAAUCUAUGAAAUAAUAUGCUUUCAAUUUUCUUUCGACACUUGUCUCAUGCAUGACCCUAAUUAAAGGUAAUGCAAAUGUCAAAAUUUUAUGUUAAAGUAUGAGAACAAUGAAUUAGGGAAUCUCGUCUAUCAUACUAAAUAAUCUUUUUCAUUUCCAUUUAGUUAGAUUUGCAAAUAAGAGUGUUAGAUUACAUUAUUUUAUUUCCUCUGAAUACUAUGUUGUAUGAUAUAACAGAAGAAAUUAUUGUUUUAUUAGGGUGCUUGAGUAGAGGUUGUAUCUCGCUCCAACUGAAUUGAUAAAACAUCAUUCGUUUGUGAAACGUUUUUAGUCGCGCUGAGGAAGAAGUAAGAUUCAUGGGUUGAAAUUAUUUUAGGUUGAAGAUGAUAUUCGAAAGGAAAGAUAUACUCCUUUAUAGAUAAAAGUAAAAAUAAAAUUAGAGAGGAAAUGACUCGCUCGUAAUGAGCGUAUUGGCUCUCUGCAUUUUAAAACAGGGUUCUAGGGUCACAUCCUCUUCAAGUAAUUUCUUGACUAACAUGUAUCUCUAUUUAAGACUCAUAUAAAGUUUGAAUAAAAACUUUAUGACACAGGAAAGAAAAUUAUUAAUAGAAGAGGUAACAAGUCUGAAUGGAUAAAAUACAAAGAUUAUUAGUGAAAUAAAAUCUACUAAAGUACGAAUAUUCUGCUCUUACUACACACAAGUAACAUUUAAUAUUAAUCUCCAUAAAAAUUUCUUAUGGUUAUUAUAAAAAUAACAAUUAAUUAUAUCUCCAUAGUUUUUCAAAGGUUAUUAUAUGUGUAUUGAUAUUUUAUUUGUUUGCAUCUUUUAAAAGGUGAACAAGCGCCACCGUAACUAUUAAAAAGUAGAGAAAUAUAAAUUGAAGAAUGAGAAAGAUCAAUAGCUUAUAAUAUUAUAUAUAAAUAUAGAAGUAUAAAAUUGUAAGAAACUUUAAAUUAUUUUCAAUUUAUUUUUAAGAUACUUUGAGAGGUGAUAGGAUGGAAAAGAAAAUGUGAUAUGCAUAAAUUGAAGGUCAUGAAUAUUUCUCUAAAAUUUAAAGUGAAGAAGAUACUAAAAAUAUUAUUACUUGUUGUCCUAUUUCAUUUCAUUACAAUAAUACUAGUGUGAAAUCCACAACUAUAGGUUGUGAAAUAAAAUUUAAACAAAAAUAUAAUUAUUGGGGUAAAAUAAAUAUCCAAAUGACAUACGACAACACAUAAAAUAUAUUAGGUGUUUGCGUCUUCUCUAGGGACUUUCAAUUAAAAACUAAAUUUGUAAACUCUUAAAGGUAUUUAUUUAUCUCCUGGGAUUAAGCAAUCCACGCACUAUUUUACAUUUACAAUAAGUGUUGCUUAUGCAUUUUCCUCUAUAAGGAGGCCGGCAAUAUAUUUUAUUUUGAUAAUCUGAAUCAUCAAAACAUUCGAUUCUCUCUGCUGCAAUAAAAAAACACUAUAUGGUUAUUAAAAUGAAAAGAAAUAUAACGUAUGAAAUAAAACAGAACAUUUAAAAUGAAUGAACAAAAGUUACCUUUAAUUUUCGUUCCAAUAAAAAAUAGAAAGAAUAAUAUAAUCAUAACAUAAGGAAAAUUUAUUACUUCUACCAUAUUUCUCCUCGUUAUUUUUAAUAAAUUAUUUUGUAACUUUAUAGUUUAUGAAUAAGAGUGGAUCCUCGCCUUUAAUAAUUUUUACUUGUGGACACUUAGUUGUAAAAUAAAUCUUAAAAUUAAAUUAAUUAGUAUAUAACUUUUCGAUACAUCAUUUUGUUGUCUUUGUCUCUUCAGCAUAUCCAAAAAAGAUGUAAAAUAAAACUUGUCUAUCAUAAAAAUAUAUUCUUCUUAUAAAAAAUUUUUAAUCAUUUUAUAUUAUUUUACCUCGGAUGUGAAUGGGAGAUUACCUCAGUUAUAGAGAUGGGAUACCAAAGAGCGUCAUAAAAAACUAACAUCUUAUAGAUCGGUUUUGAAUAACCGAGGGGAAAGGUGAAAAAGUCAUUCAUUUGAUCCCCAGUGUAGGUCGGAUUUUUUUAAUAAUUGAGGGGUAUAACCAAUGUUUUUUAAAAUUCCAUUUUGACUGACCUUGAUCAUUUUCUAUAUAGAUCCUACAAAUUAGGUGACAGAAUCAUAUCAUUUGUAUUUUAUUUAGAAUAUAAAACAAAAUACCAAUUUUACAUUGUUUAUAAAAGCAAAUGUACAAUCCUUGCAAUACUUAUCGUGAUAUUUGAUAUACACAAAACCUAUUCCAAGAGAACCUAUACAUAUUUGCACCUAAAUUGACAAAACAUUUACACAAUGCUAGUGUAUAGUUAAAAAUCAAGAAAAACUAGUGUUGACUAGAUUCAUAAUGACAUAAGAAGACACUUGCACAACGUGAUCGGAUGUCAUCUAUAUCCUCUUGUGGAAAUGGUGUUUUAUUGCUAGACGCUUAUAAUUUGAACAAAAUUUAAAUUAUGAUAAGUUAACUACAACAAUAAUAAAUUAACAAUUAUACAUAAAUUACAUGUAUAUGGAUAAAGUUAAUACCUUAUUCAAUGAAUUAAUAAUGCCAUUAGAGAAAAUAUUAGACAUAUGUAUCAUAGUAUUAUAUCGACAUAUAAAGUUCUGUGAAUACAUAAAUUACAUGUAUAUGGAUAAAGUUAAUACCUUAUUCAAUGAAUUAAUAAUGCCAUUAGAGAAAAUAUUAGACAUAUGUAUCAUAGUAUUAUAUCGACAUAUAAAGUUCUGUGAUUAUCUUUGCUGCUACAAAUAAUUUUCAUAUUGUUACUAAUUAAUACACAAAAGACAUAAGUAAUACAUUAGAGAAACUAAAAUAAUAUCAAAAAGCAUAAGUAAUACUUACACGUGGUUCUAUGAACUUUAGCUUUUUACCCUGUAUAUUACGUUUCACAAAAUUGUAUCCCUCCAAAUCAUUACAUGAUGGUAAAAAUCAAACAUGAAUAAAACUUUUCAAAACUAAAGGUAAAAUUUGAGUAUUCCAAAUAAUACCACUUACGCACUUAAAAUCUUUUGUAUAUCUUCAUCAAGAUGACAAUGUAACCAGCAUAACAUAACUAUGAUAUUUUUCUUCUGACAUAAAAUAAUUAAUUGCAAAUGUUUGCUACAUAAAAACUUAGAAUAAUUAAUAAUGUGUGUAUAAAAUGAUUUAUAAAUGAAAACACAAAUUAAAUCAUAUACUUAAUUAUUGAUAAAUUAUGACAUGUAAUAUUCUUUAUUCUCUUUAACCAACUUGUUUGUAUGCGUAUAUGGAUAUUGUUUGUUAAAUUACCUUAAAAUUGAAUGUUCAAUGGAUCUAUGAAAUAAUAUGCUUUCAAUUUUCUUUCGACACUUGUCUCAUGCAUGACCCUAUUUAAAAAGUAAUGCAAAUGUCAAAAUUUUAUGUUAAAGUAUGAGAACGAUGAAUUAUGGAAUCUCGUCUAUCAUACUAAAUAAUCUUUUUCAUUUCCAUUUAGUUAGAUUUGCAAAUAAGAGUGUUAGAUUACAUUAUUUUAUUUCCUCUGAAUACUAUGUUGUAUGAUAUAAAGAAAGAAAAUAAUUUUUAAUUGAUAUUUUCAUUAUUAAUAUUUUUCAUGAUUUAAUUGAUAUGUGAAUAUUUUUAAUUGUUUAAAAAUACUUUGAAGUUUUCAAAAAUUAUGAAUUUUUUUCUCCAAGGUACUUUGACCUUGUUUGACAUAUGAUAAAUCUCAUGGCAAUUUUUUUGGUGUUUUGAUGAGGUUUUAGGAAAUUGACCAACCAUUAUUUAAUUUAACGCAUAUUUUGUUUAUUUUUAAUUGUUUAAAUGCCAAAUAAAUUGUGUAGAGCCAUUUUAAUUGACUUUGUGAGUUUGACUUGUGUUGUUGGACCUUGGUCAAGGUGGAUUUGACUUUGUUAGGUUAAGAUUAUUGGAUUUAGGGGAUUGAUGGAAUGUAAAUUCCAUCUCCCAAAAUGAACGAAUGAUCUUAAUUUUGGUAAAAGUCCUCCUUUGACCAAUUUGUGAUUGAUCCAUUCCCCCUCCCUCUUUAUCUCAUUCCCCUUCUUUAUUCAUUCAUAUCAUGGACCUAUGAUAUCUCUACAUCCAAAGGCUAGUUGAUUGCAAAAUCAACAUGAGUAUGGAUGAGAUUAGGUCCACCACUUUGCAUAUUCUUUUUGUGUGUGGUAUGUUUCAUGAGUAUAAUCCAUUAUACUAUAUCUCUAACAUGAAUUAACACCAAAAUUCUAUUGCCCGACCUCAAAUAGUUGUGACUUCUACAUAAGUCCAAUUAUGAUUGCUUAAUAUAGCGCUAAAUUUGUGACACAAAAAGGCAUAGCAUUAUAGUAAGUGAGAUUGUAAGUUUCCACUCUUUCAUGGUAUUGUGUAGAAACUUGGCAUUUUUUCCUUCCUGUGGAAGAUGUCUUGGUUCAAGGAUCCAUGCUAGUGAUAAGUGCGUUGAGUGUUCUCCAAAGAAUGACUUAAACAAAAACAAAACAAAAACAAUACUAACUUCUAACCGACUAACAACUAACAUUUAAUUUCAAGCCAUUUACUUUUAUGCACUUUAAUUUUGAGCUUUUAAUUCAUUUGCCAUUAUUCAUACCAUUCAAUUUGUUUACUUAAUGUCAUUUUCACUUUGUCCACUUGGGUCAUAAUUUGUGAUAUAUUGUAUUUGUAUAUACUUGUUGGUUUGUGUGGUCCUUUUACCUUAAUGUACAUCAUAAGAACAAAAACCCUAAUAAAUAUUUUUCGUGGACUGUUGAUUUGAUCUGAGACUAUUGGACUUAGAAUUUAGGCAACACUCCCUAUGCAAAUGACUUGGCCAAUGCCAAAUUUCAUGAAACCAAUUGCUUGUGAAGUUAACAUCCAUAUGAUACAAUAUUGAAGAUCCAUUUGAGUUCAUCUGCAACAUGAUCAUAUUGAAACUGUUAUUUUGAACCUGUGUCUAAUGCUCCUCUUUUAAGUCAUCUGAUACAUGGGGAAUCAUAAAGAAGAUCAUGGAGUUGCUAAUCUUAGAUGUGGCUAUCUUUAUUUGAUGUCUUGGUCUUCACCUUGCUAUUUGUGUAUUGAUAUUCCUUGAUUCUAAACUCCAUAGGAAAUUUUGGUUUCUAUAUGACAUUUUUGUUUAUUGGAUUACAGCCCAGUGGUCAGAUCUUUUCAACUCUUAACUUUUAAAUUCGUGCUUAGGAUUAGUCUCUUCAUCUCCUUCCCAUUUCUUUAAUUUCAAAAUCUCUCCCUCCUUUUAAAACCUUCUUUCAUUGUGUUUGUUUUCUAAACUUAGACCAUUUUUUUGCAAAUUAGAAACUUUGGCCUUAUGCCAUUGCAUUUUUAAACUCUUUUCUCAAUCAAACCUGUAAAUAAACUUAAUUAUACUUGACUUAAAAUUUUAGAAGAAAAGAAGAACUAACACUCAUUCAAAUAAUUUUAGGCCUUUUGUGCCUUUGUUAAACUUAAAUUUUUGUUAAAAGCAAUGCACUCAUUUUGAAAUUAAUACCACGAACUACGAGGUUUUGAUCCCUCAUUUUUGUGUUGGUACCUAGGCACAAGUCUGAAGGUCUUGUCAAACACAAAAAUAUAUUUAAUGAAUCUUUUUCUCAUCCCUCCACUCUAUUUUUUUUUGCAAACAUCAGUUGUACAAAAACACAUAUGCACAAAAAAAGGGCUCCCUAGGAUUACCUAUGACAAUUUGGGUGCUAACAUCUUCCCUCUGUGUAAUCCACCCCCUUAUCCGUAAUCUCUGACAUUUUAUUAGUUUUGAUUUAAAAACUUCUUAUCUUUUGAGUUUUGUUCGUACUUUUCCCUCUUCCCUUGAAAACCCAAAAAGCGCGGUGGCGACUCUGGUUUUAUUGAAUUUUAGCAUAUCCAUAGCUUAAUGGUCAUGGCAACCAAAAUCAGAAUCAGGAGUAUAUUAUUUGAUGAGAAUGUAUUAGCACCCCGCAUAUUUGUUGUACUCAACGAGAACCAUUUAGUUAAAUUUACGUGUAAAAGUGUUAGAUUAUGUUAUUUUAUUUCAUUUGAUUAUUAUGUUGUAUGAAAUAAACCAAUAAAAUAAGUUUUUUAAUUAGGGUGCUUGACGAGAUUUUAAAUCUCGCUCCAACUGAAUAGAUAAAACAUCAUUCGUUUGUGAAAAGUUUUUUAGUCGUGCUGAGGAAGAAGUAGGAUUGAUGGGUUGAAAUUAUUUUUAGGUGGAAGAUGAUUAUUCUAAAGGAAAGAUAUACUCCUUUAUGGAUACAAGUAAAAAUAAAAAUAGAGAGUACAUGACUCGCUCGCAAUGAGAAAAUUGUCUCUCUCCUUUUUUAAACAUGGUUCUAGGGCCACAUCCUCUUCGUGUAAUUAAUUGACUAACAUAUAUCCUCUAUUUAAGACUUAUGUAAAGUUUGGAUAAAAAACUUUAUGACACAAAGAGGGAAAAUAAUUAAUAGAAGAGGUAACAAGUCUUGAAUGGAUAAAAUACAAAGAUUAUAAGUGAAACAAAAUCUACUAAACUACACAUAUUAUGCUCUUACUAGACACAAGUAAACAAUUAAUUUUAAUCGCCAUAAUAUUCUCCAAUGGUAAUUAUAAUAAACAAUUAAUUAGAUCUCCUGAGUUUUUUCAAAGGUUGUUAUAUGUGUAUUGAUGUUUUAUUUGUUCACAAAUUUUAAAAGUCAACAAGGUCACUGUAAUUAUUAAAAAGAAAGAGAAUAUAAAUUGAAGUAUGAGGAAGAUCACUAGUUUUACAAUAUUAUUAUAUAAAUAUAGAAGUACAAAGUUAUAAGAAACUUUAACUUAUUUUCAAUAAAUCUUCUAGAGUUACUUUGAGAGGUGAUAUGAUUGAAAAGAAAAUGUAAUAUGGAUAAAUUGAAGGUCAUGAAUAUUUCUCUAAAAUUAAAAGGGAAGAAGGCAAUCAAAAUAUUAUUAGUUUUUUCUAAAAUUAAAAAGGAAGAAGACAAUAAAAAAUGAAAAUAUUAUUAUUUGUUAUUUUAUUUCAUUUCAUUACAAUCAUGUUACUAUAUAAACCCACAACUACCAGGUUCUUGAAAUAGAACUAAAAACAAAUAAGAUUGUUGGGGUAACCAUACAAUAUCCAAAUGAUAUGCGACAACACAUAUAUUAGGUGUUUGUGUGUUCUCUCGGGUCUCUCUUUUUAUGAGAUGUUUGUAAACUACUAAAGAUAUUUCUUUAUCUUCUCGGAUUAAGCAAUUCAUGUCCUAGUACUCAUUAACAAUGACUCUUGUUUAUGCAUGUUCUUUUAAAAGGAAACCGACAAAAAAAAUAUUUCUACAAUCUGAAUCAUCAAAACAUUUAAUUCUUUCUCCUACAAUAAAAACACACAAUAAGGUUAUUAAAAUAAUAAAAAAAUACAAGGUAUGAAAUAAAAAAUAAAGUGUUAAAUGAAUGAAUUGAAGUUUCCUUCAAUUUUCGAUCCAAUAAAAAAUAAAAAGAUUAAUAUAAUCAUAACUUAAUAGAACUUUAUUAUUUCUAUCCUAUUUCUCCUCGUUAUAUUUAAUAAAUUAUUUUAUAACUUUAUAGUUUAUAAAUAACAGUGCAUCCUCACCCUCUUUAUAUCUCUUAAUUAUGGAUACAUAGUUGCAAAAUAAAUCUUAAAAAGAUGUCACAUCAUUUUGUUGUGUUAGUCUCUUCAGCACAUCUAAAAAAGAUGUCGGAUAAAACUUGUCUAUCAAAAAAAUAUUUUCUUCUUAUAAUAAAAUUCUAAUUAUUUUAAAUUAUAUUACCUCGGAUGUGAAAUGGAGAUUACCUCAGUUAUAGAGAUUGGAUAACAAAGGGCAUCAUAAAAAACUAAUAUUUUAUCCAUCGGUUUUGAAUAACCGAGGGGAAAGGUGAAAAAGUCAUUGACUUGAUCCCCAAUUUACGUAGGAUUUUUUAAAUAACCGAGGGGUAUAACCAAUGUUUUUUAAAAUUCCAUUUUGACUUACCUAAAUCAAUUUUUACAUAGAGCCUACAAAUUAAGUGACAGAAUCAUAACGUUUGUAUUUUAUAUAGAAUACAAUACAGAAUAUCAAUUUUACAUUGUUUACAAAAGUAAAUGUACAAUCCUUACAAUACUUAUAAUGAUAUUUGGUAUACACAAAACCUCUACCAAGAGAACCUAUACAUAUUUGCACCUAAAUUGAAAAAACCUCUACACAAUGCAAGUGUAUAGAUGUAAAUCAAGAAAAACUAGUAUUUACUAGAUUCAUAAUAACAUAGGAAGACACUUGCCCAAGGUGAUCGGAUGUCAUCUAUAUCCUCUUGUGGGAAUGGUGUUUUGUUGCUAAACAUUUAUAAUUUGAACAAAAUUUAAAUUAUGAUAAGAUAACAUUAAAUUAACAAAUCUACAUAAAUUAUGAUAAGAUUCAUAAUAACAUAGGAUAACAAAAUUUAAAUUAUGAUAACAUUAAAUUAGCAAAUAUACAUAAAUUACAUCUAUAUGGAUUAAGUUAAUACCUUAUGCCAGGUUUUGAUAAUGUCAUUAGAGAAAAUUAUUGUUGUUGCUGCUAUCAAACUGAAUUACUACCCGCUCAUGGGUUCUGAAUACCGACAUAAUGACGUUGACAUCAUUCCCCACAUCCCUCGCCUGUUGAAUCUGGAAUUCAUUCUCAUCCAUCAACUUCUGGAUAUCCCUUUUGACGAUAGUAGACCCACGGGGGUUCACACUGCAAAUGACACAACCAUCAUGGUCAUGCUCGUAAUCACUAAUCAAACAUAGAGGUCUAUGCAUUUCCACCAACGAUCUCCAGAUACACCUCAUAUCAAAAACUCUUAAAUUCCCUGGACAGUCGUCCACCAUGUUGACAGAAGUGUUACCUUGAGCAGGCAAUAGACCAGCUUUCACAUUCGGUGCUUUGUCCUCAAACGACACCAUACUACUCAUUACAAGCUUCUAAACUUCAUACUUCAGAGGGUAAUAAUUCUCUAUAUCAUGACCAAGGGUUCCAUGGUGAAAAGCGUAAUGAAUAUCAGGCUUGAACCACAAUGGCAGUGGCUCUGGAAUUUGUUGAGGGUUUAUUGGCUGAAUAAGAUUCUUGAGUACCAAAGAUGGGGUCAAAGGAGACCUUCUUCCUCUCAAAAUUUGGUUGAUAAUGAUUGUUGUUGUUGUAGUUGGUUCGUUGUUGCAGUUGUUGCUGAUGAUGUUGUUGAAUUGGAACUGAUUGAUUGGUUGAAUUGUUGGAAAAAACUGGAAUCACUGAAGAAACUUGGUGUUGAAGCUGAUGAGGUUGAGAACUUUUCCUUAUAUGAGACCUCCUCUGCUUCCCCACUAACACUGCAUUAGUCUCUCCCUCCUUCAUUCACAAACUCCUUCCUCAAAUAUCAUCCCCAUGUUUACGAUUUCGGUAAAAUCAUUGAGGGUACUUUCAAUCAUGCGUUCGUAGUAAAACAAACUCAGUCUUUUUAAGAAGAUCUUAGUCAUCUCCUUCUCUUCAAAAGAUGGACUGAUCUGAGCAGCUAACUCCCUCCUCCUUUGAGCAUAUUCUUUAAAUGUCUCCUUGUUCUUCUGAGACAUAGACAUCGAUUGGUCUCUAUCUGGGCUCCAUAUUAACGUUGUACUUAUACUGCUUGACAAAGGCCUCACCUAGGUCAUUGAAAGUAUGAACGCUAGCAUUAUCCAGGCCCAUAUACCAUAUUAGAGAAGCUCUAGUUAAACUGUCUUGGAAAUAGUGAAUCAACAGUUGAUCAUUUUUAGUUUGAGUAGACAUUUUCCUGGAAUACAUAAUAAGAUGGCUCAACGAACAAGUAUUCCCUUUUUACUUUUCAACAUCCGGGGCCUUGAAUUUCACUAGAAUUUAAACAUUGGAAACAAAAUAGAGUUCAACAGCAGUCUUGCUAAACAUAUCUUUCCCUCUUAGAGUCUUCAAUUUUUUGUGUAGUUAAAGGAAUUGAUCUUUCAUCUCAUCCAUCUUUUCAUAGACAUCUGGAACUUCAGAUGGCUCAGAGUGGUAGAUAGUCUCCUCAACACGAGGAAAAGUAUGAACGAUCGAUGGAGGUACUGUCAUGACCGGACUAGAUGCCGACAAAGAAACAAACAUGGGCGCAUACCCCUCUAGCAUGAAAUUUAGUGGCAUUCCCUAAGGAAAUCCAGCAGGCAUAGAAGGAAUGGGUUGGAUGGCAGCAGUAACAAUUACAGACAGCGAAACAAUCUCAAGAUUGAUAGUACUCUAAGGAGGAGGAGUUGCAGGAGACGAUGAUGGCUGGUUCUCAGCAGCAAUCACAGAUUCCAUUAACGUCGUAAGUCUAGCGAUCUCACUCUUCAGCUCUCUAUUCUCUUGCUCUAGAUCCUCCAUUCUUUUCAGUCGAUUAGCAUGAGUAUUGUAGCGGUGAGUCAGCUUUGCUGAGGCAUAAAAGAAGAACUGAUAAGACAUCUGUCAGAAGAAACAUGUUAUGCAAAUGAUGCAUGACAUGCAAUGCUUUUUUGAUUGUUUUGAAUUUCAAGGAAUAUAUGAUGUCUCAUUUGCAAAUAUAUAACAAUAAUGAAUAAUAACAAUUCAAUUGACCAUAAAAUAUCUUUUUAUUCAUAAAAUAUCUUAAAAUUGAACAACCAAUGGAUCUAUGAAAUAAUACAUUUUCAAUUUUCUUUCAACACAUGUCUUAUGCAGGACCGUAAUUAAAAGGUAAUGCAAAUGUCAACAUUUUUUGUUAAAGUAAGAGAACAAUGAAUAAUGGAAUCUCGUCUAUCGUACUAAAUAAUCUCUGAGUGUUAUCUAGUUGAGGUGUCGUGGUCUUAAUAUUGUGAACCGAGACAGAACAAUUAUCUUUCGUGCUUGCACCACCCGUAAAAACUUUCUCAACUACAGUUCUAGAUAUGUCCAACUAAUAUGAAUUUGGAUGGUAGAAUACAACAUUUGAUUUUAGUUUAUGCAUCAUUAAAAUAAACGAAUACAAUAUAAAUAUUAAAAUACAUAAUUAAUAUCAACAAGAUAUAGUUGGAUAUGCCCCAAUCACAUCGGGGAUACACCUUUCUCAGUCAACCUCGACCAGCCUCUCUCACUCCUUUCGCACCUCCUCAAUCAUCUUUUCUCGUACCUCCUGAAACGUCCUUGACUGUCGAACAAUCGAAAUCAACAAGAGUCUCCAGCAAAGUUUAUUUUUAAAAGGGAUAAUAUCGAUAAAACCUUAAAAGAAUAAAAAUAUGUUCAUCGCAACCAAAAUCAGAUUCAGGAGUCGAUUAUGUGAUGAGAAUGUAUUAGCACGCCACACAUCUGUUGUAUUCAACGAGAACCAUUUAGUUAGAUUUACGAAUAAGAUUGUUGGAUUAUGUUAUUUUAUUUCAUAUGAUUAUUAUGUUGUAUGAAGUACACCGAGAAAAUAAGUUAUUUAUUUGGGUGCUUGACGAGAAUUUGAAUCUCGCUCCGACUGAAUAGAUAAAACAUCAUUCGUUUGUGAAAAGUUUUUUAGUUGUGUUGAUGAAGAAGUAGGAUUGAUGGGUUGAAAAUAUUUUUAGGUGGAAUAUGAUUAUUCGAAAAGGAAAGAUAUACUCCUUUUAUGGAUACAAGUAAAAAUAAAUAUAGAGAGUAGAUGACUCGCUCGCAAUGAGCAUAUUGGCUCUCUCCAUUUUUAAACAGGAUUCUAGGGCCACAUCCUCUCGUGUAAUUUCUUGACUAACAUGUAUCCUCCAUUCAAGACUCAUGUAAAGUUUGGAUAAAAUACUCUAUGACACAAAGAGAGAAAAUAAUUAAUAGAAGAGCUAACAAGUCUUGAAUGGAUAAAAUACGAAGAAUAUAAGUGAAACAAAAUCUACUAAAGUACACAUAUUAUGCUCUGACUAGACACAAGUAAACAACUAAUUUUAAUCGUCAUAAUUUUCUCCAAUGGUUAUUAUAAAAAUAAAUAAUUAAUUAUAUCGCCUAAGUUUUUUAAAAGGUUAUUAUAUGUGUAUUGAAGUUUUAUUUGUGCACAUAUUUUAAAAGUGAACAAGGCCACUGUAAGUAUUAAAAAGAAAGAGAAAUAUAAGUUGAAGUCUGAGAAAGAUCACUAGUUUUACAAUAUUUUUAUAUAAAUAUAAAAGUAUAAAAUUAUAAGAAACUUUAAAUUAUGAUAAUGUGAUAUGCAUAAAUUGAAGGUCAUGCAUAUUUCUCGAAAAUUAAAAGGGAAGAAGGCAAUCAAAAUAUUAUUAGUUUUUUCUAAAAUUAAAAAGGAAAAAGACAAUAAAAAAUAAAAAUAUUAUUAUUUGUUUUCUUCUUUCAUUCCAUUACAAUCAUGCUAGUGUAAAAAUCCACAACUAUUAGGUUCUUGAAAUAACAGUAAAAGGAAAUCAAAUUGUUGGGGUAACAAUACAAUAUGCAAAUAACAUAUGACAACACAUAAAAUAUAUUAGGUGUUUCUGUGUUCUCUCGGGUCUUUAGUUAUCUGAGGUGUUUGUAAACUCAUAAAGGUAUUUCUUUAUAUUCUCGGAUUAAGCAAUUCACGUGCUAGUACACAUUUACAAUGACUGUUGUUUAUGCAUGUCACUUUAAAAGGAGACCGACAAAACAUUCUAUUUUUACAAUCUGAAUCACCAAAACAUUUAAUUCUUUCUCCUGCAACAAAAACUAACAAUAAGGUUAUUAAAAUAUUAAAAAAAUACAACGUAUGAAAUAAAAAAGAAAAUUUAAAAUGAAUGAAUUAAAGUUACCUUCAGUUUCCAUUCCAAUAAGAAAUAGAAAUAAUAAUAGAAUCCUAACAUAAGCAAACUUUGUUAUUUCUACCAUAUUUCUCUUUGUUAUUUUUUAUAAUUAUUUUGUAACUUUAUACUUUAUGAAUAAGAGUGUAUC